UAUAGGUCUGUAUCUAUUUCCCAAAAAGGGCUUUCCCUGGAAAUGACCAGGCUGCUUUCCUGUCUAUGUAAAUAGGUGAGGAUGUGUCAAUUGGUAGGAAUCAUUUUAGGAUAUGUGGCCAGAAGGUAAGCAGGCAGGCUACCUAAAUGCCAAAAUAACAAGAAUGUUACUCUGAGAAUGGAGUAUUUCAGCAUAUUUUUCCCCUGGUUUGAGAGGGCUUUCCUCUUACAUUCUCUCUGUAUGGUUGCACAGCUUGAUGUGCCUAAAAGUCAGCUGUGCCUGUGUGUCAAGAGACAAAUAUCACACUGAAUCGCUAGCCCGUCCUAUGCAGUUUCUUUCGGAAGAAGUUCUCUGGCUUAAGCUAGGGAAGAAAUGCCUCUGCUGUCAGAGGCAUUCUCCACUCUGUGGGGAAGUGGAGAAAAGCCACAUGAGUCCUGUUAGCCUACAGAUUAUUAAAUACUUAUCCUGAUGACGGUUUCACUGCUCUCCCCCAUCCUCAUGCCUUCUAACUGAACUUGGAGCUUUCCCAACAUAUCCAAGAUGUCUCCUUUGAGUGUGUUGGACCCCCUGUAUGCUUUCUCCUAGUCUGGAUUAUUUAUCAAUAAGAGCUUAUUCUCUGGAAAUCAUUCACAAUUUCAAUUUUGCUGCCAGUAUCACUUCCUAUUUGCCAUGCAGCUAUGGAUUUAUUUUCCCUGUGAAACAACUUUGUUGUUUCAGUGGAACUGGGAAGAGAAAAAGAUAAACCUACUUCCUAGGUUUACUGUUUUUGAACUAGGGGCUCCAUGAGUUUGAAUUCCCAGCUGGUGUUUAGAUUUAGUGCUUCGUUUGGACUCUGAACUUCCAAAGGUCUCCACGUGUACUACACUGAAGGCUGACAGCAGGGCUGAGGAUCCUCCUGAGAGAUCUUCCAGUGUGUGGGCCACUGAAACUAAGGCAGGCACCCUCAGAAGGCUGGAGAAUUUCGAGACUGGCAGGAAAAAAUCUCUCGAAGAAGAGGUCCUACAGCUGUGAAAUGUUCUCUCGCUGACACAGUUUCAGUCUGGAACAUUUAGAGUAUGAAGUCUCCACAUAACUAAAAUGGAAAAAUACUUGAAGAACUUAGAAAAAAAAAGGAAUCACUUGUGCUUCUCAGUCACCUAGAGGCUUGUUAAAUUAAAACAUAGCUUGCUGGACCUGCCCCUGGAGUUCUGACAAAGUAGUCUGAAGAGGGCCUGAGAAUGCACGUGUCUGAAUACUCUUGGCACUGGUGCAUGCACGCUAUACAGCCCUAUAAGGUUCUUUCAUACCUCCAAGAUACGGAAAGAGAAAAAAGUCAGUUGCAGAACAAUGUUUCACAUUCAGUGGCGUGCACUCGGUGUGCAACACAGAGCACUGGACGGAGGAGCUCCGGACGGUUGAGAAUUGCUGCAUCUGAGGAAAGGAGGGGAAAGCAGCAGGAGCACUGGAUGGGAGAAGGGGCACAUUCAUGUUUUUUUCUAAAUAU